rnacentral:rRNA from 1 species
UACAGAGGUCCCAAGCGUUGUUCGGAUUCACUGGGCGUAAAGGGUGCGCAGGUGGGUUUGCAAGUUCGAUGUGAAAGCCCCGGGCUUAACCCGGGAAUGGCAUUGGAUACUGCAGAUCUGGAGGAUCGGAGGGGGGACUGGAAUUCUUGGUGUAGCAGUGAAAUGCGUAGAUAUGCGGAGGAACACCGAUGGCGAAGGCAAUCCCCUGGGCCUGUACUGACGCUCAUGCACGAAAGCGUGGGGAGCAAACAGG